GACGAACCGAGCGAACGUUGUUCGGAAUCACUGGGCUUAAAGGGCGCGUAGGCGGGCUGCCAAGUCCGUGGUGAAAUCCCCCGGCUCAACCGGGGAAGGGCCUCGGAUACUGGCGGCCUCGAGGGGGGUAGGGGCGUGCGGAACUGUGGGUGGAGCGGUGAAAUGCGUUGAUAUCCACAGGAACUCCGGUGGCGAAGGCGGCACGCUGGACCCCAUCUGACGCUGAGGCGCGAAAGCCAGUGGAGCGAACGGG
rnacentral:rRNA from 1 species